rnacentral:rRNA from 1 species
UACAGAGGUCCCAAGCGUUGUUCGGAUUCACUGGGCGUAAAGGGUGCGUAGGCGGUCGGGUAAGUCUGACGUGAAAUCUUCAAGCUUAACUUGGAAACUGCGUCGGAUACUAUUCGGCUGGAGGAAUGGAGGGGAGACUGGAAUACUGGGUGUAGCAGUGAAAUGCGUAGAUAUCAAGUGGAACACCAGUGGCGAAGGCGAGUCUCUGGACAUUUCCUGACGCUGAGGCACGAAAGCCAGGGGAGCAAACGGG